rnacentral:misc_RNA from 1 species
AAAGCUCUUUGUUUUUUGAAAGGGUGCUUUUAUGAGAUAGAGAUUUUUUAGAUAAUGCUUUUUUAGAUAAUGCUGGGGAAGGUUUUCCGGUUUAUCUCGGAGGGCUUGUAGCUCAGUUGGUUAGAGCGCGCGCUUGAUAAGCGUGAGGUCGGAGGUUCAAGUCCUCCCAGGCCCACCAAUUUACCUAUCCAUUUGCCUUUAUCUGUUUAUUUGCCGAUUUAUCGGUCCAUUGAAUUUAAGUGUUGGUAGCAGUUUUAUAAUGAUGAGAAAUCAUGCUUAUAAAAGAACUCCUUAUAAAAGGCUUGUUUUUAAAAUGUGACGCUUAUCCAUUUCGCUUAGGCAAGAGAAACUUCAAGCGGUUCAAAUACAAAAGGCUUUAAGUUUUGCAAAACACUUUGAAUUUUGCAAAACACUUUGAAUUUUAAAGUGAUCCAAGUUCGUGAUCUCGAAUUUAAAAGUUUCGAAUGCUUUAUCCUUUUUUGGGGGCCGUAGCUCAGCUGGGAGAGCACCUGCUUUGCAAGCAGGGGGUCG